rnacentral:rRNA from 1 species
CCACAAGAACUGCGGUUCAAGGGGUCAAAGGUUUUUCGCUCUAAGAUGAGUCCGCGUAAGAUUAGCUAGUUGGUGAGGUAACGGCUCACCAAGGCGACGAUCUUUAACUGGUCUGAGAGGAUGAUCAGUCACACUGGAACUGAGACACGGUCCAGACUCCUACGGGAGGCAGCAGUAGGGAAUAUUGCACAAUGGAGGAAACUCUGAUGCAGCGACGCCGCGUGAGUGAUGAAGGCCUUCGGGUCGUAAAGCUCUGUCGCAGGGGAAUAACACAAUGAAGGUACCCUGUAAGAAAGGAUCGGCUAACUUCGUGCCAGCAGCCGCGGUAAGACGAGGGAUCCUAGCGUUGUUCGGAAUCAUUGGGCGUAAAGCGGGUGUAGGUGGCUUUGUAAGUCGGGUGUGAAAGCCUGGGGCUUAACCCCAGAAGUGCAUUCGAUACUGCGAAGCUUGAGUGGUAGAGAGGAUAGUAGAAUUGUUGGUGUAGUGGUGAAAUACGUAGAUAUCAACAGGAAUACCGGAGGCGAAGGCGGCUAUCUGGCUACACACUGACACUCAGACCCGAAAGCGUGGGGAUCAAACAGGAUUA